rnacentral:rRNA from 1 species
CAGCAGCCGCGGUAAUACGGAGGGGGCUAGCGUUGUUCGGAAUUACUGGGCGUAAAGCGCACGUAGGCGGCUUUGUAAGUUAGAGGUGAAAGCCUGGAGCUCAACUCCAGAAUUGCCUUUAAGACUGCCGAGCUAGCAGGUGAGAGAGGUAAGUGGAAUUCCGAGUGUAGAGGUGAAAUUCGUAGAUAUUCGGAAGAACACCAGUGGCGAAGGCGGCUUACUGGCUCAUACUGGACGCUGAGGUGCGAAAGCGUGGGGAGCAAACAGGAUUAGAGACCCCUGUAGUCCCUGUCUCUUAUAC